rnacentral:rRNA from 1 species
GUUUCCAGAGGAAGGCUCGUCCGCUCUGGGUUAGUCGGGUCCUAAGCUGAGGCCGACAGGCGUAGGCGAUGGAUAACAGGUUGAUAUUCCUGUACCACCUAUAAUCGUUUUAAUCGAUGGGGGGACGCAGUAGGAUAGGCGAAGCGUGCGAUUGGAUUGCACGUCUAAGCAGUAAGGCUGAGUAUUAGGCAAAUCCGGUACUCAUUAAGGCUGAGCUGUGAUGGGGAGAAGACAUUGUGUCUUCGAGUCGUUGAUUUCACACUGCCGAGAAAAGCCUCUAGAUAGAAAAUAGGUGCCCGUACCGCAAACCGACACAGGUAGUCAAGAUGAGAAUUCUAAGGUGAGCGAGCGAACUCUCGUUAAGGAACUCGGCAAAAUGACCCCGUAACUUCGGGAGAAGGGGUGCUCUUUAGGGUUAACGCCCAGAAGAGCCGCAGUGAAUAGGCCCAAGCGACUGUUUAUCAAAAACACAGGUCUCUGCUAAACCGUAAGGUGAUGUAUAGGGGCUGACGCCUGCCCGGUGCUGGAAGGUUAAGAGGAGUGGUUAGCUUCUGCGAAGCUACGAAUCGAAGCCCCAGUAAACGGCGGCCGUAACUAUAACGGUCCUAAGGUAGCGAAAUUCCUUGUCGGGUAAGUUCCGACCCGCACGAAAGGCGUAACGAUUUGGGCACUGUCUCAACGAGAGACUCGGUGAAAUCAUAGUACCUGUGAAGAUGCAGGUUACCCGCGACAGGACGGAAAGACCCCGUGGAGCUUUACUGUAGCCUGAUAUUGAAAUUCGGCACAGCUUGUACAGGAUAGGUAGGAGCCUUUGAAACGUGAGCGCUAGCUUACGUGGAGGCGCUGGUGGGAUACUACCCUAGCUGUGUUGGCUUUCUAACCCGCACCACUUAUCGUGGUGGGAGACAGUGUCAGGCGGGCAGUUUGACUGGGGCGGUCGCCUCCUAAAAGGUAACGGAGGCGCUCAAAGGUUCCCUCAGAAUGGUUGGAAAUCAUUCAUAGAGUGUAAAGGCAUAAGGGAGCUUGACUGCGAGACCUACAAGUCGAGCAGGGUCGAAAGACGGACUUAGUGAUCCGGUGGUUCCGCAUGGAAGGGCCAUCGCUCAACGGAUAAAAGCUACCCCGGGGAUAACAGGCUUAUCUCCCCCAAGAGUUCACAUCGACGGGGAGGUUUGGCACCUCGAUGUCGGCUCAUCGCAUCCUGGGGCUGUAGUCGGUCCCAAGGGUUGGGCUGUUCGCCCAUUAAAGCGGUACGCGAGCUGGGUUCAGAACGUCGUGAGACAGUUCGGUCCCUAUCCGUCGUGGGCGUAGGAAAUUUGAGAGGAGCUGUCCUUAGUACGAGAGGACCGGGAUGGACAUACCUCUGGUGUACCAGUUGUCGUGCCAACAGCAUAGCUGGGUAGCUAUGUGUGGACGGGAUAAGUGCUGAAAGCAUCUAAGCAUGAAGCCCCCCUCAAGAUGAGAUUUCCCAACUUCGGUUAUAAGAUCCCUCAAAGAUGAUGAGGUUAAUAGGUUCGAGGUGGAAGCAUGGUGACAUGUGGAGCUGACGAAUACUAAUCGAUCGAAGACUUAAUCAA